rnacentral:rRNA from 1 species
GACGAACGCUGGCGGCGUGCUUAACACAUGCAAGUCGAACGAUGAACUUGGAGCUUGCUCUGGGGGAUUAGUGGCGAACGGGUGAGUAACACGUGAGUAACCUGCCCUGGACUCUGGGAUAACUUCGAGAAAUCGGAGCUAAUACCGGAUAGGACCUUGCACCGCAUGGUGUGGGGUGGAAAGUUUUUCGGUUUGGGAUGGACUCGCGGCCCAUCAGCUUGUUGGUGAGGUAAUGGCUCACCAAGGCGUCGACGGGUAGCCGGCCUGAGAGGGUGACCGGCCACACUGGGACUGAGACACGGCCCAGACUCCUACGGGAGGCAGCAGUGGGGAAUAUUGCACAAUGGGCGCAAGCCUGAUGCAGCAACGCCGCGUGCGGGAUGACGGCCUUCGGGUUGUAAACCGCUUUUAGUAGGGAAGAAGCCUUCGGGUGACGGUACCUGCAGAAAAAGGACCGGCUAAUUUCGUGCCAGCAGCCGCGGUAACAC